rnacentral:rRNA from 1 species
UUUCGCAAUGCCCGAAAGGGUGACGAAGCGACGCCGCGUGUGGGAAGAAGGCCUUCGGGUUGUAGACCACUGUCGGGAGUUAGGAAAUGCAGGUGCGUUAAUAGCGCACUUGCUUGACUAAGGCUCCAGAGGAAGCCACGGCUAACUCUGUGCCAGCAGCCGCGGUAAUACAGAGGCGGCAAGCGUUGUUCGGAAUUAUUGGGCGUAAAGAGCACGUAGGCGGCCUUGCAAGUCAGUUGUGAAAGCCUUCCGCUUAACGGAAGAACGGCAUCUGAUACUACAGGGCUUGAGUACGGGAGGGGAGAGUGGAACUUCUGGUGGAGCGGUGAAAUGCGUAGAUAUCAGAAGGAACGCCGGCGGCGAAAGCGACUCUCUGGUCCGAAAUUGACGCUGAGUGUGCGAAAGCUAGGGGAGCAAACGGGAUUAGAUACCCCGGUAGUCCUAGCCGUAAACGAUGGGCACUAAGUAGAGGGGUUUU